rnacentral:rRNA from 1 species
UACAGAGGUCUCAAGCGUUGUUCGGAUUCAUUGGGCGUAAAGGGUGCGUAGGUGGCAUGGUAAGUUGAAGGUGAAAUCUCGGAGCUCAACUCCGAAACUGCCUUCAAUACUGCUGUGCUCGAGGACUGUAGAGGAGAAUGGAAUUCACGGUGUAGCAGUGAAAUGCGUAGAUAUCGUGAGGAAGACCAGUGGCGAAGGCGAUUCUCUGGGCAGUUCCUGACACUGAGGCACGAAGGCUAGGGGAGCGAACGGG